UUUUCACUGCUUAUGGUGAAUAUACCAACUACAUUUACUACAAUGUAUGUGGCACAUUGUUUCAAUCGCCCAAACCGUUGUUAUUCUUUUACUAGUAUUUUAAAUAAGGUUUGAAAUAUUUGUAUCUGAAUAUUGUUUGUCUAGAUUGAACUUUAUCAAUCUAGGAUAUUCCAUUAUAGGAUGUUUCCUAAUCCACCACUGCACUGAUUUUAUUUCAUUUCCAAAACCCAGCUCGAAAUUACUUCACUGAACUAAAAAAAAAAAAUUAAUAUAGACCAAUGACACUUAUCUAUCUCCAAACCUUAUUUUUCCGCGACCACAAAUUGAAAUGGAAAAUUUGAUCUAAUAACCCAAAACAUUAUAAUUCAUCAAAUGACCAUAACAACUAAAUGGCUAUGAUACUCUAUAUCUAUUAUGUAUUAAUUGAUAUUAUACCCCCUCUGUAUAAGCAAGUGUAGCAGUUUUGUUUUUUCUUUAUUUUUUUUAAUUGUAAAUGUUUUCCCUCUAAUCUUAUUCAUCUUCUAGCUUCUUAAAAAGCUUAUUCAAAUUUAUAAAUUACUCAUAAAAAUAUAGAUUUUAAUGUGUUUUGAACAUUUUAAAACAAAUAUAUAUUUUGUAACAUUUGAUAUAUUAUGUUACAUUAAGAAAAUCAAGUUAUAAAUUCUAUAUAUAUAGUAAAUUCAUAUAAUAUAGUAUCAUUUCUACUUCAAAUAAUACUCCAUACUUAAACACAUAUAUUAAAGAAUUUGAUAUGAAUUAAUCUGUCUAGAGUUUCACGAACGAGCUACCGAGAGAUAGGCACCCUCAAACCUAGAAGCUACGGCUCCUGCAGCUUCUGGACACCCAACUAGCACAGACUAACCCGAAGAAUCCAAGCACAAAACAACCAAGAAACCCGACAGAUGCCACCUCUGACGGCACGAGAGAAAUCCUCCAAACCCAAACCGUUGUGACUGUCUACACCCAUUGAAAAACUCAUAUAGAGAAAACAUACCGCACAUAAGCUAACCCUCCGGAAACAAACAUGCAGGAUAAAAGGCAUACCGCAAACCAAGUACCACAUUUCUAACUCUUCAUUCUUUUGGACCAAGUCCUCUACAUUCUCUUCUUCUUCCUCCUCUUUACUUUUCAAUUAUUCAUUUCUUUUUCCUUUGCUCUUCUACUUCCUCACUCCUUCUCUUUUUUCUUCCUCUUUCUCCUCUUUCUCUUUCUCCAUUUCUUCUUUUUGUUCUUCCUUACUCACUCCUCACUGUUCACUUUUCACUCCUCUGUACUAUUGUUAUUGUUAUAAUAUUAAGAAAAUCAAAUUAUUUUCUAUAAUUACAUUUCUGUUCAAACAAUGUAUCAUAUAUCGAUACAAUAAAUUACGUUGUUGUAUUUCUUAUAUACAUGCAAACGCGCGAAAAAAUAGUGCAUUGUCUCUUUGUGUCACAGAUUGACACAGUUCCCGAGAUAUAGCUAUUUUGUUAAUUUAUUUUGUAUAAUGGCUAUAACACAAAUUAACCCAAUUGAAAUUGUCGACAUCUUCUCGGCAUCACUAGACGGAAGCGUCGGCUUCGAAGGCUCUCCUGCACCUCUCCUUUUUAGUUCUUUCUUCUUUCUUUAUCUCAACUUUUGAUAUGUUGAAGAUCUGUAGGGUGUUGUUUCGGUGAUGGCUCCACUCGAGAAGAAUCUAGAUUCACCGGUUUUCUAUGCUCUUUGGCGUCGAUGUGAGAUUGGUUAGACAGUGGCAGCAGUAGAGGUCGGUGUUUUAGGGUUGUCGAGUGGAUCUCUUUUUUUCGUUAGGUUUUGUGCCACUUUCAGAUUCAAUGCGUGUGGGGAAGGAGUGAAGGCUCUUCUCACAGAUCCAUGUUGCUUUUAGUCGGUUAUGCAAAUCCGGUUGGUUUGUUGUUAAGAUAGGUAUCAAUUGCUGGGUUUUUGUCAUGUCUUUGGUGUCUCGGUUUGACGGACUCAUCAAACUGAUGACGGGUGAACGUUGGAGGAUUCCUAUACCUUAGCGAUGCGUUCUUGGAGUGUCUUACCAGCAUGUGUUAGUGCCUCUGACGACAGUGAAUAUUGAAAUGAAGAGUGGUUUUACGUUGUGAUCAUCUACGGCCAAUUCGUGCAUGUGGUCUUUCUCAUCUUCGAUCUCCUUACUCGGCCUCAUAUCCAAAUCUCAGCUUGAGCUAAUGACGACUAUAUCUGCUGCUGGUGGCAAAUGGCGAAGAAAUUGGUGGCUUCAGGUGACCUUAUAGGCCUCAGCUUUCCUUUGGUGACUCCAUUUGGCCGAAGCAACAUAUCUCAGCGUCAUUGGUUAAUGAUUGUUUUUGGUGGUAUUGCUUAUUUAUCUCCUUUGUGCAAGUCAUUAUGGGUUUUCUGAAGGUUAUGCAUGUCUUUUCUCAACCCGGUUGUAUUAAUAAAUUCAAAGCUUCAAUGUGGCAGUGGUAUCACCUGUAAGGAGAAAUCAGAAUUUUAGUACUCCUGUCCCGAUUAAUCAAGACCGGCCAAUGACCAUGAUAUUGGAUCUGGAGUUAUAACAACCAAGUAGUCUAUGUAUCAUUCGUUAUUGUUGGAUCUGGAGUUGCGAAGUGAUUUAUGUGUAUGUUCUUCGGAAUUGUAGCAAGUCUUAGAUUGUACGAAUUUUAUUUGAAUCACCAUUAUAUUUUGAUGUUA